CAGGGCUCGACACCAGCCCUCGCCUCCGGGGUCUUUCGGGGCCUGCAGAGAAGCGAGACGGCAUCGGACAGGGCCGGGGCCGCGCAUCUGAGACAGGAAAAGAAACUGAAAAGCCUUCGCUUGAGUGCCCCUGUGGUUUGACUUGAGGCAACAGCUUUUACCUCUCUCCGCCUCAGUUUCUUCGUCUGUUAUGUGAAGAAUCUUAACAGCAAAUUUCGUUUUUUUCAGUCAUGGACUCCUUUAAGAAUCUGGUGAGAAAUAAUAGACUCUUUCGAAGAGAAAUGCACUAAAUUUUGCGAAAAGUUUUAGGCAGUUCACCUAAAUAGGUGAUUUUUAAGGAUUUUCCCAUUUUUAUGAUUCUGAUGGUUGCUCCGAUGGCGGGCAGGGAAGGGGUGAGCUGCGCGACAGCUGCCAGCCCCUCCGUCACUGGGACUGAUUCUGCGGAUCUAGCCGUGCGUCUCUCCUCACUCACCAUGCCCCAGCUCCACGUCUUCACUUCCCUGAGCUUUGUGGGAAAGAAUGGCUGUCCUCAGUAGAAUUGGCUAGAGUUGGUUCUGGCUCCUUCCGACUCUGAAUUUUACACUGCAAGUCCUGGGUGAAAAAGUAUGAACUGUUUAAAGUCUCCAGAACACGCUGGUGAAUUGCAAAAAAAGGGUUAUCGACCAUUCACGCACUCAGAGCCCACUUCACCACACCCUGUCCAGCAGUGAGAUGAAGCACAGAGAGGUGAAGCCACUUGUUGAGCUGAGGGGCGACAGGGUCACAUCUCCAGUCCCUGCUUUUCCCAAGCACAAUGCCUUUGGCAAAGGAGAGCCAGAAGGAUAAGAAUUGCUUUGGGAGAUGAAUGCCAGCUUUGGCUGAAGGAAUAAGAACCUAAGAGGAGCUGAAGGAGUCGAAACCACAUAUAGGAGUACUUGAGCGGGACAAGCAUUUAGGCCGUGGUUAUAAGAGCCUGUGUGGCUGGACCUGCUCCCAUUCAUUUGGGGUGC